AUGGAGCGGGAGACGCCGGAAGCCGCGCCACCGCUGACAUUUCUCCGCGGGGAGGAGGCGUCGUCGGGGUCUUCGUCGGCGCGCGCGCGGUUCGAGCGCCUGAUCCGGCGGGUGCAGGCGGAGGUGUGCGCGGCGCUCGAGGCAGUCGAGGAGGGCAGCGGCGGCGGUGGCGUGGUCCGCGUGCUGCAGGGCGGCCGCGUGUUCAAGAAGGCCGCCGUAAACGUGUCCGUCGUCUACGGAGUCAUGCCCCCAGACGCGUACCGCGCGGCGAGGCCCGACGCGGCGGCGGGCGCGGAGAAGGCCGGGCCCGUGCCCUUCUUCGCUGCCGGCGUUAGCUCGUGGUGGUUUGGAGGUGGUACUGACUUGACACCGUCGUACAUCAUCGAAGAGGAUAUCAAACAUUUUCAUUCUGUUCAAAAACAAGCAUGCGAUAAGUUUGAUCCAACUUUCUACCCAAGAUUCAAAAAAUGGUGCGAUGAUUAUUUCCAUGUCAAGCAUCGUGGUGAACGCCGUGGGGUGGGUGGAAUAUUCUUUGAUGAUCUCAGUGACCAUGAUCAAGAAACUCUUCUUGACUUCGUGACAGACUGUGCGGCCUCUGUAAUUCCUGCAUACAUCCCCAUGGACCCCAUCAUAGAAUGUCGGAAAGAUACCCCAUUUACAGAAGACCACAGGGCAUGGCAGCAGCUACGGAGAGGUCGCUAUGUGGAAUUCAACCUCGUCUACGAUCGUGGCACCACAUUUGGCCUCAAAACUGGAGGAAGGAUUGAGAGUAUCCUUGUUUCCCUCCCUCUGACCGCACGGUGGGAGUAUGAUCAUAAACCGCAAGAAGGGACUGAAGAAUGGAAACUUCUCGACGUGUGCAUCAAUCCAAAGGAAUGGAUCUGA
rnacentral:rRNA from 1 species